rnacentral:misc_RNA from 1 species
UUUCCGUAGGUGAACCUGCGGAAGGAUCACUACCGAGUGAGGGCCCUCUGGGUCCAACCUCCCACCCGUGUUUAUCGUACCUUGUUGCUUCGGCGGGCCCGCCGCAAGGCCGCCGGGGGGCAUCUGCCCUCUGGCCCGCGCCCGCCGAAGACACCAUUGAACGCUGUCUGAAGAUUGCAGUCUGAGCAAUUAGUUAAAUAACUUAAAACUUUCAACAACGGAUCUCUUGGUUCCG